CCAAAGGAAAAGUGUAGAUAUAUCAAAUGUUCAAUUAACACCCAGCUAAAUCUACAAUGAAAUAUUGACUGUUGCUGUACUUUAUUAAAAUUUCAGCCCCGCAUAGAUCUAUGUUGGAAAGUGCCACGCCCACUUUAGACAAGAGUCAUCUUGUAUUUACUCUCGGCGCAUAAUUUCUCUAUUCUUCGAAGUCGCGUCAAUUUAAUCCUAGCUGUGUGUAUCGAUUUUUACCUUCAAAUGCAAAGAGAGGUUCAAUUUGUAUGCAAUAAGCAAUGCGAGUAAUUUCUUCAUUAAUCUUACAUGAAAAUUGAAAAUGCUAAAUUUGGAAUUUGAUACCUCAGAUUUAUACACUGGAAUGCCAGAUAUGGAUCGGGUGUGACAGAUAUUAUGAUGUGUAUGAUAUUUGGAUACUUAUCAAUAAAUUGGACGUGGAGUGUUUUGUUUAAAUAGUAUGUUAUAUCAAAGUGGACAAUAAAACUACGUAAACACGACUUUAUUUUACGUAAAAUGUAGUCAACAUAUUUAUGUGCGGAGAUUAAUGAAUUGCAGGUUAAGCUACGAUAACAGUGUAUAGGAUAGAGCUAUAUGGAAAGUGGAAAUGUAUUUCAUCGUUUGUCUGAGUGCUUUUCUAUUCAUUAUACCUCAAGUAUGUUACUGUGCCACGACGCCCACUGCUCAGAUAACAUGCGCCACAACAACAUGCAGGUCAGACCAGUACUGCCAGGAAAUCCCGGGGGGGACGAUCUGCAGAGUGUGUGAUAAUGCAUGUAAUGGGUGCACGGGUUUUGGUCCAACAAGAUGUAAGGAAUGCCAGCUUGGAUUUCAAAAUGUCAGUCGAGUCUGCGUGG
rnacentral:lncRNA from 1 species